ACCUGCAAAAGCUGAGAGUCUUCCCUGCCCCCCACAGCUGCAAAUAGGGAGCUGUUGACUUUAUACAUGGUGAUGCUGCUAGAACGGGGGCAGGUCCCACCCUCCCAGGCUGCAACUGUGAGGGGAGGGAUAGGCGCUGGGGAUUGAGACAGGGCCUGGAAAGUGAAGGGGCCCAGCUGGCUUCUUGCAUCCUUUUUGCCCUCUGUAAGCUGGGCUCUCUGCCAGCCCUUCCCAGCACGCGAAGGAGACCCAGUCUUCCUCCUCAGUUGGACCUCUAGCUCUCCACAAAGCAGAGCUGGCUCCUGGAAGGAUGGUACCUCCAAGCUGACAGGAGCACCUUUUUGUUAGUGUAUAAUGUUCUCCCUCCAAUUCUCAUUAGAUGUGGCCUCCACUAAAGUAUUCUUGUGAUAUGAAAAGCGUAUUGAGAACUGAAAUGAUCUUGUGUGUUAGCCAGGUGAAAAGAGAAUGAAUAGCUCAAGACGUUGAGAUCUAGGAGUGUCACCUCCACUUUUAUAAAAAAAAAAAAAAAAAACUCCAGCAAACUGCAAGCUUACUACUUUUUUUGAAAGCUGAGGUCAAAGGGCAAUCAACUAGCCUGCAAUCUAAGGAUCGAUGGAGGCUUGUGGAGAAGCACGGUCCCUGCUUACCUGGGUGCAGCUGCAGCCAACAGAAGAAUUCACCUGGGGCCGGCUUUUCUUCACGGAGCCCAUCAGGCACUCACAGAAGAGACUGGCCGAAAGCCUGAGAAAGAAUCCCUCCGCGGUGCAGGCGAAAGGGCCAAACACUGUUUCCCUUUGAGCACUGGCAAAACAGAGGGAAGGAAACGGAAAAGCAAGGCCAAAACCCUCCACCCUGAGGAACCGGCAAGAAUUCAGACAACUAAAGCGAAGACUUUGUUGCCAGCAGGUAUACUCUACAAGAAAUGCUAAAGAAGUUCUUGAGGCAGGAGGAAUGUGAUGCAAGAUAGAAACACGUGUCCAAACAAGGGUGUGAAGAGCCCUGGAAGUUGAAUAAACGAGGGAAAAAUACAUUUAAAAUUUUAAAUUGUUGUAAAGGAUAAAGGAGUGUCAAGAGUGAAAUCAGCAGCAGUGUGUUAUGCGUGUGGAGGAUACAUAAAAGCAAAGUGGAUAAUGGCACAAAUGUUGGGAAGAAGCAACUGGCAGUAUACUAUUGCAAGGUCCUUACAUUAUGCAUGUUAAAAAAUAAAAUUCAACUGAGUAGAUUUUAGAGAUCUUAUUGGCUUUAUUCAACGACUCAUGCAUCGGGCAGCAUCCAAUCUAACGGGAAGGAGCUCCGAGGAGGUGUACAAGAGGAAAGACAUUUUAGGCAGGAAGGAGCAGGAACAAAGAAGUUAUAGGCAAAAAAGUAGCUUGGUCGUGGCAAAGUCACUUUCCUUUAGGGGACGGCAGGGGUCUGUCAGGCAGCUGACCUCCCCAGUGCUGAGCAGACGAUUCCUGAUUGGCUGGUUUAAGAUUCCGUUUCCGGGAGAACCAAAACCGUAAUUAAGUUAAGUCUGGGUUUGGUGAUGUG
rnacentral:lncRNA from 1 species